GGGCCUCCCUCUGCCGCGCCGACCGCCAGCAAUCACCAGCCGUUCGCAGCUCCUCACCGGUGCAUCGGGACUUCUCCUCCGCACAUGCUCGAACCACCUCAGCCGCGCUUCGCACAUCUUCUCGUCUACCGGGGCCACCCCCACCUUCUCCCGAAUAAUUUAAUUCCUAAUUUUAUCUAGCCUGGUAUGCCCGCACAUCCACC
rnacentral:lncRNA from 1 species